rnacentral:rRNA from 1 species
GACGAACGCUGGCGGCGUGCCUAAUACAUGCAAGUAGAACGCACAGUUUAUACCGUAGCUUGCUACACCAUAGACUGUGAGUUGCGAACGGGUUAGUAACGCGUAGGUAACCUGCCUGGUAGCGGGGGAUAACUAUUGGAAACGAUAGCUAAUACCGCAUAAUAUUAAUUAUUGCAUGAUAAUUAAUUGAAAGUUGCAAUUGCACCACUACCAGAUGGACCUGCGUUGUAUUAGCUAGUAGGUGAGGUAACGGCUCACCUAGGCGACGAUACAUAGCCGACCUGAGAGGGUGAUCGGCCACACUGGGACUGAGACACGGCCCAGACUCCUACGGGAGGGAGCAGUAGGGAAUCUUCGGCAAUGGACGAAAGUCUGACCGAGCAACGCCGCGUGAGUGAAGAAGGUUUUCGGAUCGUAAAGCUCUGUUGUAAGAGGAGAACGGGUGUGAGAGUGGAAAGUUCACACUGUGACGGUAUCUUACCAGAAAGGGACGGCUAACUACGUG